AGAUGCGGACGCCUGGAUCGGGAUCGCGCCUCGGAUCCGGAGUCGCGCUCCUGCGAGUGGGCCUGGCCUGCUUGCUGGCUUGCUGGCCUCUUCCUGACGGACUGCAUGGUCCCCCUUCUGGUGAAAGCACAAACACGCAAGACAUUGCCAGAAUGCACGACCCCGAGAAUAAGGCUGCGUCCUACGAGAGCCCACCAGACACAUCGCCGUCUCCGGUCCAGCUCUCUGCUGUGUGCGCGUUCCCCUGUCGGAACGCCACCCACACUGGGCAUGAGUGAGGUCGAGGCAGCGCCCCCCCAUCACCACAAGGAGUGCCCCCCGGGGAUUUUAGACACUCUUCUAACAAGUCAAACUCCUGAGGCUGAGCAGAAAAGAAAAACAGCUACGAUGGUUCCCCUGUAGCUGCAACACGGAGUGCAUGGUCCUCCUCGAGAGUGACCUUCCAGUCAGAUAUCCACAACUUCCAUCUUCCCAAGCCAAGGAGCCUGCGGAGCAACUCCCAGACCGGGUCAUUAGCGCAGGGGUGUCACCAGAUAGCAGAUCGCCGGCCAGAGAGGCGGCGAGAGAGGGGGGACUCCUGGCACCGUGGUGGCUGCUGUGUGCUUUGACAUUCAGGUCUGGCUGAUCUAUGGGGCUGGGGAGACAGUGCCCUUGCUCUGGGUCUCUGUGAGGGGAAGGUCCUGGCAACGUUCCCCCACUCACUUUACUUCAUCAUAAAACUCAGGUCACGAGGCACCGCCCAGGCUCGUGUACGGCCAGCUUGCUGCAUCAGGACCUCAGCGUUAACAGUCCUUAGCAACAACAUACUGUAUAACAGUUAUCGAGUCAUAACUUUAUACACUUGCGACUAAUGGCGAGAACAGCAUCUCUGUCAUUGAUGUUGGGGAACCGGCCUGGACAUCUCUCAUCUUAGCACUGGCGCUAACCUUAGCGUUCAGAGUUGUGUGCAGCGCUAGGACGAACUCACUACAAAUGAUCAGCCAACGUACACUUAACCCUUGCCAAUCGUGCGAUUUUUAAAAAAUGUUGUUGUUUUUUUGCAGACCCUAACACAAAUAUUUGCUUGGAAAAAAAAAAAACACUUGUCAGCAGAUUUUUCUUCUUUUCUCGGCCCAGCCAUUGAUUAGUAAAAGUGGGAAAACGCACGAAAGGGGAAAUACGCUGGAGAGCUGUGCAAUCUGGACAAAAUUUCACAUCCUGAUAGCAAUAUAGAUGUCCCCAUAUAGUAUUUUUUUUACUUAAAAUUACACGAAUGGCUAUUGUCUCUUACCUUUUCUGCAUUUAUUCAUAAAACACAAUACAAUUAAUAGAAGAGAAAUAAAAAGACAAUGAAACACAAAUAUCCAGUGGGAAAAAUGCCAUUGAAAAUAUCUGGUAGUUCAACCGUUUUUAAAGGAAUGUACACUGUUGUUGAUGUAUACAUUAAGUAGUGUACCGGUAAUGUACAAUAUUGGCAGUGCUUCAUCACCAAGCUGCCAAAUUGCACUUUGUCAAUCUGUGAACACGGCGUGGCGCGUGACAUCUCCAAAUAUAAGUUCCCCCAAACCCCUACGUCAACAACUUAGUCAAACGUUUGAGUAUGUGCCGGUUGUCAGAACGCUGGUGAAACUGUCAGCUGACGCUAAUUUGUGCAAACACAGCUGCUCUGCUUUCCUUUUGGCUUUGACACGAUAGUCGUGCUUCUGUGUCGUCCCUGCCUAGCUGCCAAGUCAUGCGUGAAGAAAUUAAGUAUGUGGGUGGUUAUUAUGUAAAUUAGAAUUGUGAUCACGCAAUUUGGCAACUUUCAGAAGGGCAGUUUCAGAAAUAGCCAGAUAACAAAAGAUUUAGUCGGUUGUUUAAUUUCACACUUGAUGGGUGGGCGGGCAUUCCAGAGACACAGCGAUUUGUUUACAAGCCAUUAAAAAGUCAAUUUUCCAUACAAUAUGCCCUCAUAGUGUCCUGUAAUCAUGCUCACAAACAUCUAUUAGUUAACAAUGGAGUUCAGCUCAAGCACCUGCCCUUUUGCCCUGGAUGAAUAUAUAUAUAUAUAUAUAUAUUAAUAAUUAAUGAUUAUUUGCUAAAAAACAAUCAAGUUUAUCAGUUUGAACAUGAAAUAUCUUGUCUUUGUAGUGUAUUCAAUUAAAUAUAGGGUGAACAUGAUUUGCAAAUGAUUGUCUUCUGUUUUUAUUGAUGUUUAACACAACUUCAUCGGAAUUGGGGUUGUAUAUAGUAUAUUAUGUAUAAUUCUAGUUCAGAACACGAGAUGCAUUUAAUGA